rnacentral:rRNA from 1 species
GAUGAACGCUGGCGGCGUGCUUAACACAUGCAAGUCGAACGAUGAAGCCCAGCUUGCUGGGUGGAUUAGUGGCGAACGGGUGAGUAACACGUGAGUAACCUGCCCUUAACUCUGGGAUAAGCCUUGGAAACUGGGUCUAAUACCGGAUAGGAGCGCCUACCGCAUGGUGGGUGUUGGAAAGAUUUAUCGGUUUUGGAUGGACUCGCGGCCUAUCAGCUUGUUGGUGAGGUAAUGGCUCACCAAGGCGGCGACGGGUAGCCGGCCUGAGAGGGUGACCGGCCACACUGGGACUGAGACACGGCCCAGACUCCUACGGGAGGCAGCAGUGGGGAAUAUUGCACAAUGGGCGAAAGCCUGAUGCAGCGACGCCGCGUGAGGGAUGACGGCCUUCGGGUUGUAAACCUCUUUCAGCAGGGAAGAAGCGAAAGUGACGGUACCUGCAGAAGAAGCGCCGGCUAACUACGUG